AGGAAACUACUCGGAAUAUGGGCCAUAUCUGUAUUGGAGGUGAGACAUUUAGCCUCUAUCACAGUACUCAAAAUGAGUACUAAGAUAGAAAGAAGCUUUGCACAAACAUACAGUAUAUGAAGAAGCUUAACAUUCAGCUACAGAUGCCAGUCCACAUCAAAUCUCAUUAAAGGAAAGCAGAAGUGUCAGUACCAGGGUCCAAUGGAUAUUCCAGCACGUCAAGUCGGUCAUUAAAGACUCCAACAAGCCAGAAGUUGGUGUGUCUACUACCUCCUCAAAUGUUAGAUAACAUCUUGUCUGUACCCAUCUGACCAACCAUCAAUGACAGAGAUGCCAAGGCUGCAACUCCAUUGGCUCAACAUCAUCAUAAGGUUGAUAAUGACAAUCUGAUGCAUUAUGCCCAUUCCAUUAGCUUGUGCAUAUUUUUUAAAAGAAUAAUUGGUCUUGACCUAAUUUUCUGUAACUUUUGUAAACUUCAACCUUUCUUACUGUCCUCUGAAUGGUAUGAUCUCUUUCUCUGUUGAUCUUUGAGGUGUAGGUAACAACAAUCAAAGACGCAAUAACCCUAAAAUUGCUACAAUACCAGUACUAUCUGUUGAGGUGAGUAUAUCAUCUUUUUAGUUCAAAUAUCCAUCUUUUCUUGUGAGCAUCAGUAUUGGUUUCCAGCAGAAACUAUCAAAAUAAGAGUGAGUAUGCAGGUUAUUAGGUAGUGUAGUGCUCAAUACGAACAACCUCUCCAUACUCUCAACCUACUCAUCAGGCUCUGGGGCAUGAAAAAAAAAUCCUUGUUAUAUGCAAAGAAGAAUGAUUCCUUGCUGUUCAUGUGUUGCAAGACUUCCAUCAACAUAUUGAUUCUCCUGGGCCACUCAUUGGUCACCCUUUUCAUCAGCUUCUCAAAAUUCUUUCAGUUUGUAGACCGUCUGAAAGAAGACAAAGUUGAGAUGCUCAGAGUGAUUUUGACAAAGUUAAGAUAGCAUUGUAGAAGCAAUUUGGAAAGUUGUUCACACAUGCUUCAAAACUUGAUUGUCCUAGAACAGUCAAAGCUUUGUGAGUAUCUCCGCAAAGGGCCAGAGUUCUUCCUUUCUCCAACAUCUCUACUCCAUCCCCUCAUGUAGAAAAAUUCAAUUCUGGUGAUAAAUUUGCAAAAUGCAUGUGCUUUCCUUUUC